rnacentral:rRNA from 1 species
GGGGAAUAUUGCACAAUGGGCGCAAGCCUGAUGCAGCGACGCCGCGUGAGGGAUGACGGCCUUCGGGUUGUAAACCUCUUUCACCAGGGACGAAGCUUUUGUGACGGUACCUGGAGAAGAAGCACCGGCCAACUACGUGCCAGCAGCCGCGGUAAUACGUAGGGUGCGAGCGUUGUCCGGAAUUACUGGGCGUAAAGAGCUCGUAGGCGGUUUGUCGCGUCGUCUGUGAAAUUCUGCAGCUUAACUGCAGGCGUGCAGGCGAUACGGGCAGACUUGAGUACUACAGGGGAGACUGGAAUUCCUGGUGUAGCGGUGAAAUGCGCAGAUAUCAGGAGGAACACCGGUGGCGAAGGCGGGUCUCUGGGUAGUAACUGACGCUGAGGAGCGAAAGCGUGGGUAGCGAAC